AUACUAACCUGGUGCCGCGGUCUCCUUGAUCACCGAGGGCGAGCCCCCAGGGCGAGGUGCGGGCAUUGCACUGCUUUCGCUUGACCCCUGCCACUACCCCAAACUGGGGAAGAUGGGGCAUGUAAAUUGUUUAAAUCCGGU
rnacentral:snRNA from 1 species